ensembl:antisense 4930469G21Rik RIKEN cDNA 4930469G21 gene
AGGACUAUCUGAAAGGCUUUGACAGGAGUGCCUCUUUAGUGAUUGAGGCAUCUUUUGCUCUGUCUGACCAAUUUUUUAGCACAAGAUUUUCUUCUCAGUUAAGACAAAAAAAAAAGAUGUCUACCCAAAGACUGUCUGUGCUUUCUCCCCUUCUGCUCUUCUGCUUCUUCAGAGAGACUUUCUCCAUUUGUGACGGGACAACGUGGACAAAGGUCGGAUGGGAGAUUUUUCCAGAGGAAGUGCACUACCUGAAAGUUAAGGCCCCCCCAUCCAGCUGCCUACCUUAUCCUCUGGACACACUCUGCUGCAAUUUUGCUAACAUGGACCUCUUACAGAGCGCCUUACACCUCACUUACAUCUUAGUACAAGCUCUCUGCUUAAUCCUGUUUGCUUUAUCUGUGCAUUACCUAUGGAUGAAAUGGACAAGACACCAAAAAAAGCUGAAAAAGCAAGCUUCCUUAGAGAAACACGCUAAUGGCCUAGACCUGAGCCCAUCCAUCCAUGACAUUGAACAAAUCCUCUGCAGACUACUGGCCACAACAUCAAUGAUGACCAAGUUCCUGAAGCACGUGUCUCACCACUCUUCUGUCAAGAAAGCUAAGCAACAACGUAAAUUAAGGAAGAAGAAGAGUAAGGGAGAAGAGGAGCAGAAGAUCACUGCUAUCCCUAAGCUCGUGCAAAUGUAGCUUGGUCAAGUGCGGAGAGGACAAAAGCUCGUGCAAAUGUAGCUUGGUCAAGUGCGGAGUAUAAAAGAAAUCUAUUGCAGGGACUGUCUGAGGACACAAAGGUUUCUUUGGGGGCUUGCUUUUUUUUUUUUUUUUUUGCCACAAUCAUUACAGAAAAAUUCUCAGACGAGCUCUGGGUUUCCGCUCAACUGAAAACGAAUCCACUCUUUCUAACGUGGCUCCCAGAAUAAACUGAGAACACCUUAACUGGAA